rnacentral:rRNA from 1 species
UACGGAGGGGGCUAGCGUUGUUCGGAAUUACUGGGCGUAAAGCGCGCGUAGGCGGACCUGCAAGUCGGGGGUGAAAUCCUGGAGCUCAACUCCAGAACUGCCUUCGAUACUGGCGAUCUCGAGUCCGGAAGAGGUGAGUGGAACUCCUAGUGUAGAGGUGGAAUUCGUAGAUAUUAGGAAGAACACCAGUGGCGAAGGCGGCUCACUGGUCCGGUACUGACGCUGAUGUGCGAAAGCGUGGGGAGCAAACAGG